rnacentral:rRNA from 1 species
CUUGCUUUCUUUGCUGGCGACCGGCGCACGGGUGAGUAACACGUAUCCAACCUACCCUUUACUCGGGGAUAGCCUUUCGAAAGAAAGAUUAAUACCCGAUGGCAUAGCUCUUCCGCAUGGUAGAACUAUUAAAGGAUUUCGGUCAUCGAUGGGGAUGCGUUCCAUUAGGUUGUUGGCGGGGUAACGGCCCACCAAGCCUUCGAUGGAUAGGGGUUCUGAGAGGAAGGUCCCCCACAUUGGAACUGAGACACGGUCCAAACUCCUACGGGAGGCAGCAUG